AGGAGCUUGCUCCUCUGACGUUAGCGGCGGACGGGUGAGUAACACGUGGAUAACCUACCUAUAAGACUGGGAUAACUUCGGGAAACCGGAGCCAAUACCGGAUAAUAUAUUGAACCGCAUGGUUCAAUAGUGAAAGACGGUUUUGCUGUCACUUAUAGAUGGAUCCGCGCCGCAUUAGCUAGUUGGUAAGGUAACGGCUUACCAAGGCAACGAUGCGUAGCCGACCUGAGAGGGUGAUCGGCCACACUGGAACUGAGACACGGUCCAGACUCCUACGGGAGGCAGCAGUAGGGAAUCUUCCGCAAUGGGCGAAAGCCUGACGGAGCAACGCCGCGUGAGUGAUGAAGGUCUUCGGAUCGUAAAACUCUGUUAUUAGGGAAGAACAAAUGUGUAAGUAACUAUGCACGUCUUGACGGUACCUAAUCAGAAAGCCACGGCUAACUACGUGCCAGCAGCCGCGGUAAUACGUAGGUGGCAAGCGUUAUCCGGAAUUAUUGGGCGUAAAGCGCGCGUAGGCGGUUUUUUAAGUCUGAUGUGAAAGCCCACGGCUCAACCGUGGAGGGUCAUUGGAAACUGGAAAACUUGAGUGCAGAAGAGGAAAGUGGAAUUCCAUGUGUAGCGGUGAAAUGCGCAGAGAUAUGGAGGAACACCAGUGGCGAAGGCGACUUUCUGGUCUGUAACUGACGCUGAUGUGCGAAAGCGUGGGGAUCA
rnacentral:rRNA from 1 species